rnacentral:rRNA from 1 species
AUUGAACGCUGGCGGCAGGCCUAACACAUGCAAGUCGAGCGGAUGAAGGGAGCUUGCUCCUGGAUUCAGCGGCGGACGGGUGAGUAAUGCCUAGGAAUCUGCCUGGUAGUGGGGGAUAACGUCCGGAAACGGGCGCUAAUACCGCAUACGUCCUGAGGGAGAAAGUGGGGGAUCUUCGGACCUCACGCUAUCAGAUGAGCCUAGGUCGGAUUAGCUAGUUGGUGGGGUAAAGGCCUACCAAGGCGACGAUCCGUAACUGGUCUGAGAGGAUGAUCAGUCACAUUGGAACUGAGACACGGUCAAGAGUCCUACGGGAGGCAGCAGUGGGGAAUAUUAGGCAAUGGGCGAAAGCAUGAUCCAGCCAGGCCGAGUGUGUGAAGAAGGUCUUCGGAUUGUAAAGCACUUUAAGUUGGGAGGAAGGGCAGUAAGUUAAUACCUUGCUGUUUUGACGGUAACAACAGAAUAAGCACCGGCUAACUUCGUG